ensembl:lncRNA
UUUAAUAUCUGCCAACCAAAACAAGCUCAACGAGCAAAUAUACAGGAUUAAACAUGAAGAAAGCUUGCUGCGGCUGAUGACGUCCAGCGGUUUGCUCAGAUGAAUCUCGCCUGCAGAACAGAAGGAAACGCGGUGGAACAUUAAAGGAGCGUUACGAAGAUUCAUGGAUGGAAAACACGUGACGUUUCAUCUGCAGGGCUCGAGCCUGCAAAUCAGCUGCAGCACAUCGUUAAUGUGUCGGGGGCUCUGUGUUCAUAUGGGGGGGCAGACUGUCCUCCUCUCUGGAGAGCCGGACCGUCUGGAGAGAAGGGGG